CGACCUUCCUUCCCCUCCAACGCCAAUCCACGGACCUUGGAGCAUUGCAUUGAACAUGUAUAUUUUACGUUAUAUCAAAGCAUCGCUAUCGUGACUGAGAAAUUUAAAUAUUUCGUAAACUUUUUGCGUCAAAAUUGUGUCGUGAAUAAACGCGAAGCUAUACAUAUGUUGCGCAAAUCUUAUGAUAAGAGUUCGCAGAUCGAGUGUGAAUUAAUUGCUUAUGCUAUUGAUAUUAUUGUACACGAUGCAUUGUACACUGAAUAAAAUAAAUGCAUUUAAACAUACGCUCAGAAAUUACUUUCUCUCAUCAUUUCCACAUUAUAAAACGGUGGUCUCGCGUCAAGUGACGUCAGGCUUCUCUAUCGAGAGACAGUAUAUAAUAUAAAAUAUAAUAUAAAAAAAAGAUAGAUACUUUUCGGAACGAGGAGUGACAAACGGUGGUGAGUUGUGCUGGCAACGAUAUUGUAUACAUUAGCCAGCAUACAGUUGCGGCGUAUGUUUCAUCUUAUUCUUUGACCGUCAUACAAUACUUUUGAGAUUAGACGCAACUGUAAAUAUGCACUGCGACGGAAGAUGCUCUCGCACAGCCCUUUGCUUUUCAGUCUUGAUCGCGCUCUCGCUUCAAUACUAUCGGGAGUGAUAAGUGAGUUAAAAAUGAAUUCAGAACUCUGCAAUGAACUUGAGUUGAUGCAGGAUUACCUGCACAGAGUUCUUUGUCUUCUCCCCGUCCAUACAUUGGACAGAAUUAUCGCUGCCGCGGAAUCCGUCCUUCACGGACAUCCUCCUCCUCAAGACGAUAUAUAUAUUAGAAAUUUAUUUAACAUUUUCACCUUACUCCCAUCAUUUAUUGUGAUGAUGUUUUGGGACAUAUCCCGACGCAUCUUGAUAGAGGAUGCGGAGGAAGCCCAACAGAUCCGGGUAGAAAAUGUGGUGCGAGAAGAGGAGGAGGAGGAGGAAGUGGUGAUGGUAGAAGUGGAGGAAGAAGUAGACAUGAUGGAGGAGGGGGAUGACAAUCCAAUAUUUUUUCUAUCCUCUUCCCCCCGAGGACGAGGACGAGGACGAGGACAAGGACGAAGCCGCGGAGGAAGCCGCGGACGGGGAAGUCGGGGACGGGGACAACAAUGACAAUAGUGGUGGUGGUGGUGGUGGUGGUGGUGGUGGUGGUGGUUGUGGUGGUGGUGGCGGCGGCGGUAGUGGCGGCAGUGUUGGUAAAAAGGCAACGGUGACGAUAUAUAUUGCAUUAAUCAGCAUACAGUUGCGUCUACUCUCAAAAAGUAUUGAAUGACGGUCAAAGAUUAAGAUGAAACGUACGCCGCAAUUGUAAAUACGCGCUGCGACGGAGGACUCUCUCGCAGCCCUUUGUUCCUCAGUCGUAGCCGUGCUCUCAAUCCGUGAGGUACUUCGCCGCAAGUGAGUGAUCUUAAGUGCGUAAUAGAAAGUAAUAAUAAUAAAUAUGGAAUUUGGAGAAGAAUCAAUGCAGGAGUACCUGCACAAUCUCUUCUCCCGCUUCCCCAACGAUAUUCUACGCGAAGUGCUUGAAACAACACGAGCUGUCCUAAACGGACAUCCCCCUCCUCCUCCUCCUCCUGUAUACAACGAGGAAAGCGAGGAAGAAGAGGAAGCUGAAGAAGAGGAAGCUGAAGAAGAAGAGGAAGGAGCCCAACUUUACGCUAAUAACCUCUACGAGAUUUUCUCUAUUCUACCAGAUUUUAUAUUAAUACAUAUAAUUUCAACGGUACAACUCAUCCUCCACGAGGAGGAGGGGGAAGAGGACUAUUAGUGGUGGUGGCGGGAAGGAGGACAAAGACGAAAGACGAAAGACAUAAUUAGUGGUGGUGGUGGUGGAGUGGUGGUGGAGUGGUGAUGGGGUGGUGGUGGUGGCGGCGGGGUAGUGGCGGCGGCAGCGGCAGAAAGGUGACGGCGGGCCGCUGCGCUAUCGAUGGGGGUGGAGGCAAGUGAAGAAGGUGAGUCUCAAAAAUAUUUUUAUAUAUAUCCUUUGUCUCGCGCGGCGGCGGCGGCGGCGACAAAAGACAGUUCCGCGAAUAAUCACCGCGAAUUUCAAGGGUGACGUCAGGCCCGCGAUAUUGCCCUGCGGUGACGUCAGGCCCGCGAAUUAUAUAUAUUAUGUCGGUUCUAACUCGGAAGCAAUGAGGGUCCCCCCCCCAUCCCCCCCUAUCUACUUACAUAAACAAAUAACGGUUAUUACUAUCUACAUAAAUAGAUAACGGUUAUCACUGUUUAUGUAAACAGAUAAGGGUAAGUCCCGCCGCACCUACAUUUUCCCCCGCGCACCUCAUCCCCCCUCGUUACUCCGUAGUUAGAACCGGCAUAGUCAUACUACUUAUAUAUAAUUAUAUACCAAAUCUUGCAUUAUUACAUAUCAUUGUAUAUAAUUAUAUAUAUUUUAUUAUAUAUGGCCAUAUUUGAUCUAUAUAUAAUUAUGUAUAAUCAUAUAUAAAAAAUUGUUUCCCGGGUAAUGCUAAAAAUUUGAAUAUUUCAUAAUUGCAUGUACUCAUUUCGUUUACGUAAAAUCAGUAGCGUAAACCAUGAAGUCUUAUUACAAACUUUAUUGACAAUUUAAUUGUUAUAUUUUUUCACAUUAUUUAUGUAUACAAUGCAACUAAAAUAUUAUUGUAAUAAAAUUGUUAUUUCAGUUGUACACAGCAUCCAAAGCGACCUAUAAAACCGCCCAGACGGUACAAACGCACCUCAAGUGACUCUAACAAAUAUAAAAGAUCUAAAAAAUGUGAUGAACAGUCUAUGGAACAAAUGCUAAGCCAUGAUAUAAAAAAAUCGUCGAUAUAAAAAAAAAUGCAAACCAACGACACAGCAAGGGAUUCGGAAAAUUCUGAAUCCUGUUCUUCCGAAACAGAAUCGUUGGGUUCGGAUAAAGGACAAGGUUCUUCCAAACCUGGUGUUCAUUCCGCUUGCGAAAAGCAUACAACUUUAGCUCCGUCAAAUGUUAAGGUGGACAAAGAACGAUUUCAUUACGCUCCUCUACAAACGUUUCAACCAAAUGCUGUCCCAUCUACAUCAUGGAAAUUCUUUCAUGCAAGCUCAGCCAGGAACUGUUUUGCCAGUGAUCGCAACAUCGACAACGAGCUACCUGCCAUCCCAGUCUUAUGAAACACCAGCCUACGGUCCAAUGGUCUUAAGCAGCCAGUCUAAUGAAACGCCAACCAAUGUUCCAAUAACCUUCAGUAAUCGUACUGAAAAAAAUAUACAAGUUUCCGAAAAUCUACCAGUCAGCGAAUCAAUAAAAAAUAAUGCUUUGAGAAGAAACACAUUCAAUAUGGCAGUACAGGAAGGAUGCAUAAAUAAAAUUGAAUGCACGCUUUGACCAAGUAGACCGACAAUUGCAAAAAUUAAACAAUAUUAUUUCACGCCACAUAGAGCACCGAAUGCCAAUAAAGCCGCAAAUUCUACCAUUUCAGUCGAUCGAAGCGUUUCAAGAGUUCGAAAAUAAUGAAAAUGUUUUUAAUGAGAUCGUUGCCUACUUUAAAUGGUUAGGCGGAUAUACGCUAAAGGAUUGUGUGCAUUAUUGCAUGACCGAGAGUCUUUCUAAAGAAAUUAGUGAACAUUUUACGUGGUGGGAAAAUGAAAAGAAGAAAAAGCUAUCACUAUAUAAAAGCAAGUUUAUUCAAGCAAUAUACAAAGCAGUGUUACAAAAUUCAAGUUUUCCAUCACCAACUCGAAAUUUGUUACAAGAAAAUGUUUCAGAAUCUCUUCGGGUAAUUAAGCAAAAAAAAAGAAACAUGUUCAGAGAGGAGAAUCCGGAGAAUAUCGGUAAUCGCAAACGUCUUGAAAACGAAGCAGACGAUUUAUAUAACGCAGACAAUGUCUGCGUUAUAUAAAUCGUCUGCUUCGUUUUCAUUGUAUACUUUGUACAAUAACACUUUUUUAUGUUGUUAAAUAUACAGGGUGUCAGGUAACUAUCGCCCGUGGUUUCGUGGAUUGAUACCCAGCCAGAAAUGAUUAGUCGAAUCGACGUCGAUUCGACGUCGAUGCGUCGAUAAAUGGUCGAAAACUAGUCAAUAUUUUUAUCAUUUUCUACUUUGUCAUAAAAAUUGUUUAUUGAGUAAUUGCGAAUAUUUUUGUAAAAUUUCUAUUAACUUUGUAACAACCCGUUUUUCUUGGAUAGAUAUCGCGCACGGACGUAGCUCGUCGGGAAUUCCAGGGCACGAUCCGGGUUAAGAGAGAAUUAGACUUGUGUGUUUGAACGUGUAAACUAUGUACAAGUUUUAUUGAGUGAAGGGACGAAUACAAUUGUCUUAAAGCUAGUAUUUACAGAGGGUGCGUCACCGCCGAUACGUCGUCGGCCGUAUCGCGCGCGGGGUGACGGCUAUCUUGAUCGCGGCAAUCGGGAAUACCGUCGGGCAACGGUUUCGGCGCGGGGAACGUCGUCGGCGCGGUUGCCGCUUAUUCACACGGCAGGUGCGUUGUUUACGCGGUCGGCGUUCUUUUCGGUGCGCCGGCGGCCUC